rnacentral:rRNA from 1 species
CCUACGGGAGGCAGCAGUGGGGAAUAUUGGACAAUGGGCGAAAGCCUGAUCCAGCAAUGCCGCGUGAGUGAAGAAGGCCUUCGGGUUGUAAAGCUCUUUUACCCGGGAAGAUAAUGACUGUACCGGGAGAAUAAGCUCCGGCUAACUCCGUGCCAGCAGCCGCGGUAAUACGGAGGGAGCUAGCGUUGUUCGGAAUUACUGGGCGUAAAGCGUACGUAGGCGGCUUGGUAAGUCAGAGGUGAAAGCCCACGACUCAAUCGUGGAACUGCCUUUGAGACUGCUUCGCUUGAAGAUGGGAGAGGUUAGUGGAAUUCCGAGUGUAGAGGUGAAAUUCGUAGAUAUUCGGAAGAACACCAGUGGCGAAGGCGGCUAACUGGACCAUUCUUGACGCUGAGGUACGAAAGCGUGGGGAGCAAACAGGAUUAGAUACCCUGGUAGUCCACGCCGUAAACGAUGAUAGCUAGCUGUCGGGGCUCUUGGAGCUUCGGUGGCGCAGCUACGACAUUAAGUUAUCCGUCCGUCGGGUAGGUACGGCCGGCCGAACGGUUAAAACGUAACAAUAGAAUUAGUACGGCGUGAGACGUGCCGACGGACGACGACGAGGGAGGUAGG